UACGAAGGGGGCUAGCGUUGCUCGGAAUUACUGGGCGUAAAGGGCGCGUAGGCGGGUCGUUUAGUUAGAGGUGAAAGCCCGGGGCUCAACCCCGGAACUGCCCUCGAAACUAGAUAGCUAGAAUCUUGGAGAGGCGAGUGGAAUUCCGAGUGUAGAGGUGAAAUUCGUAGAUAUUCGGAAGAACACCAGUGGCGAAGGCGACUUACUGGACACAUAUUGACGCUGAGGUGCGAAAGCGUGGGGAGCAAACAGG
rnacentral:rRNA from 1 species